rnacentral:lncRNA from 1 species
UUGCCCAGCUAUGCAACCCAAGAGGGGGGGGUGAAUUGGGUUUCUAAAAAAUUUUAAGCCCAACAGAUAACUUAUGAAGAACAAAACAAUGGCUUUAAAUCAAUAUUAAUUACCUAAAGCAGUAUUGCAAGGAUAUAAUAAAGAAAUAAGAUAAAGCGAUAAAGCAUACCACAAACACAAGGAUUUAUAGUGGUUCGGUGCUAACCUUGCACCUACAUCCACUCCCCAAGAUCCCACUUGGG